rnacentral:rRNA from 1 species
GACGAACGCUGGCGGCGUGCCUAAUACAUGCAAGUCGAACGAGAGCGCCCGGUGCUUGCCCUGGUCAAUCUAGUGGCGAACGGGUGAGUAACACGUGGGUAACCUGCCCAUCAGAGGGGGAUAACAUCCGGAAACGGAUGCUAAAACCGCAUAGGUCUUCGAACCGCAUGGUUUGAAGAGGAAAAGAGGCGCAAGCUUCUGCUGAUGGAUGGACCCGCGGUGCAUUAGCUAGUUGGUGAGGUAACGGCUCGCCAAGGCCGUGAUGCAUAGCCGACCUGAGAGGGUGAUCGGCCACAUUGGGACUGAGACACGGCCCAAACUCCUACGGGAGGCAGCAGUAGGGAAUCUUCCGCAAUGGACGCAAGUCUGACGGAGCAACGCCGCGUGAGUGAAGAAGGUGUUCGGAUCGUAAAACUCUGUUGUUAGAGAAGAACAAGUGCUAGAGUAACUGUUAGCGCCUUGACGGUAGCUAACCAGAAAGCCACGGCUAACUACGUG